CCCGUCACCGCAUGGUGGUGGGUGGAAAGAUUUUUUGGUUUUGGAUGGACUCGCGGCCUAUCAGCUUGUUGGUGAGGUAAUGGCUCACCAAGGCGACGACGGGUAGCCGGCCUGAGAGGGUGACCGGCCACACUGGGACUGAGACACGGCCCAGACUCCUACGGGAGGCAGCAGUGGGGAAUAUUGCACAAUGGGCGCAAGCCUGAUGCAGCGACGCCGCGUGAGGGAUGAAGGCCUUCGGGUUGUAAACCUCUUUCAGUAGGGAAGAAGCGAAAGUGACGGUACCUGCAGAAGAAGCGCCGGCUAACUACGUGCCAGCAGCCGCGGUAAUACGUAGGGCGCAAGCGUUAUCCGGAAUUAUUGGGCGUAAAGAGCUCGUAGGCGGUUUGUCGCGUCUGCCGUGAAAGUCCGGGGCUCAACUCCGGAUCUGCGGUGGGUACGGGCAGACUAGAGUGAUGUAGGGGAGACUGGAAUUCCUGGUGUAGCGGUGAAAUGCGCAGAUAUCAGGAGGAACACCGAUGGCGAAGGCAGGUCUCUGGGCAUUAACUGACGCUGAGGAGCGAAAGCAUGGGGAGCGAACAGGAUUAGAUACCCUGGUAGUCCAUGCCGUAAACGUUGGGCACUAGGUGUGGGGGACAUUCCACGUUUUCCGCGCCGUAGCUAACGCAUUAAGUGCCCCGCCUGGGGAGUAC
rnacentral:rRNA from 1 species